GGGUUGUGAGGUUAAGCGACUAAGCGUACACGGUGGAUGCCCUGGCAGUCAGAGGCGAUGAAGGACGUGCUAAUCUGCGAUAAGCGUCGGUAAGGUGAUAUGAACCGUUAUAACCGGCGAUUUCCGAAUGGGGAAACCCAGUGUGAUUCGUCACACUAUCAUUAACUGAAUCCAUAGGUUAAUGAGGCGAACCGGGGGAACUGAAACAUCUAAGUACCCCGAGGAAAAGAAAUCAACCGAGAUUCCCCCAGUAGCGGCGAGCGAACGGGGAGCAGCCCAGAGCCUGAAUCAGUGUGUGUGUUAGUGGAAGCGUCUGGAAAGGCGUGCGAUACAGGGUGACAGCCCCGUACACAAAAAUGCACAUACUGUGAGCUCGAUGAGUAGGGCGGGACACGUGGUAUCCUGUCUGAAUAUGGGGGGACCAUCCUCCAAGGCUAAAUACUCCUGACUGACCGAUAGUGAACCAGUACCGUGAGGGAAAGGCGAAAAGAACCCCGGCGAGGGGAGUGAAAAAGAACCUGAAACCGUGUACGUACAAGCAGUGGGAGCACGCUUAGGCGUGUGACUGCGUACCUUUUGUAUAAUGGGUCAGCGACUUAUAUUCUGUAGCAAGGUUAACCGAAUAGGGGAGCCGAAGGGAAACCGAGUCUUAACUGGGCGUUAAGUUGCAGGGUAUAGACCCGAAACCCGGUGAUCUAGCCAUGGGCAGGUUGAAGGUUGGGUAACACUAACUGGAGGACCGAACCGACUAAUGUUGAAAAAUUAGCGGAUGACUUGUGGCUGGGGGUGAAAGGCCAAUCAAACCGGGAGAUAGCUGGUUCUCCCGAAAGCUAUUUAGGUAGCGCCUCGUGAAUUCAUCUCCGGGGGUAGAGCACUGUUUCGGCAAGGGGGUCAUCCCGACUUACCAACCCGAUGCAAACUGCGAAUACCGGAGAAUGUUAUCACGGGAGACACACGGCGGGUGCUAACGUCCGUCGUGAAGAGGGAAACAACCCAGACCGCCAGCUAAGGUCCCAAAGUCAUGGUUAAGUGGGAAACGAUGUGGGAAGGCCCAGACAGCCAGGAUGUUGGCUUAGAAGCAGCCAUCAUUUAAAGAAAGCGUAAUAGCUCACUGGUCGAGUCGGCCUGCGCGGAAGAUGUAACGGGGCUAAACCAUGCACCGAAGCUGCGGCAGCGACGCUUAUGCGUUGUUGGGUAGGGGAGCGUUCUGUAAGCCUGCGAAGGUGUGCUGUGAGGCAUGCUGGAGGUAUCAGAAGUGCGAAUGCUGACAUAAGUAACGAUAAAGCGGGUGAAAAGCCCGCUCGCCGGAAGACCAAGGGUUCCUGUCCAACGUUAAUCGGGGCAGGGUGAGUCGACCCCUAAGGCGAGGCCGAAAGGCGUAGUCGAUGGGAAACAGGUUAAUAUUCCUGUACUUGGUGUUACUGCGAAGGGGGGACGGAGAAGGCUAUGUUGGCCGGGCGACGGUUGUCCCGGUUUAAGCGUGUAGGCUGGUUUUCCAGGCAAAUCCGGAAAAUCAAGGCUGAGGCGUGAUGACGAGGCACUACGGUGCUGAAGCAACAAAUGCCCUGCUUCCAGGAAAAGCCUCUAAGCAUCAGGUAACAUCAAAUCGUACCCCAAACCGACACAGGUGGUCAGGUAGAGAAUACCAAGGCGCUUGAGAGAACUCGGGUGAAGGAACUAGGCAAAAUGGUGCCGUAACUUCGGGAGAAGGCACGCUGAUAUGUAGGUGAAGUCCCUCGCGGAUGGAGCUGAAAUCAGUCGAAGAUACCAGCUGGCUGCAACUGUUUAUUAAAAACACAGCACUGUGCAAACACGAAAGUGGACGUAUACGGUGUGACGCCUGCCCGGUGCCGGAAGGUUAAUUGAUGGGGUUAGCGCAAGCGAAGCUCUUGAUCGAAGCCCCGGUAAACGGCGGCCGUAACUAUAACGGUCCUAAGGUAGCGAAAUUCCUUGUCGGGUAAGUUCCGACCUGCACGAAUGGCGUAAUGAUGGCCAGGCUGUCUCCACCCGAGACUCAGUGAAAUUGAACUCGCUGUGAAGAUGCAGUGUACCCGCGGCAAGACGGAAAGACCCCGUGAACCUUUACUAUAGCUUGACACUGAACAUUGAGCCUUGAUGUGUAGGAUAGGUGGGAGGCUUUGAAGUGUGGACGCCAGUCUGCAUGGAGCCGACCUUGAAAUACCACCCUUUAAUGUUUGAUGUUCUAACGUUGACCCGUAAUCCGGGUUGCGGACAGUGUCUGGUGGGUAGUUUGACUGGGGCGGUCUCCUCCUAAAGAGUAACGGAGGAGCACGAAGGUUGGCUAAUCCUGGUCGGACAUCAGGAGGUUAGUGCAAUGGCAUAAGCCAGCUUGACUGCGAGCGUGACGGCGCGAGCAGGUGCGAAAGCAGGUCAUAGUGAUCCGGUGGUUCUGAAUGGAAGGGCCAUCGCUCAACGGAUAAAAGGUACUCCGGGGAUAACAGGCUGAUACCGCCCAAGAGUUCAUAUCGACGGCGGUGUUUGGCACCUCGAUGUCGGCUCAUCACAUCCUGGGCUGAAGUAGGUCCCAAGGGUAUGGCUGUUCGCCAUUUAAAGUGGUACGCGAGCUGGGUUUAGAACGUCGUGAGACAGUUCGGUCCCUAUCUGCCGUGGGCGCUGGAGAACUGAGGGGGCUGCUCCUAGUACGAGAGGACCGGAGUGGACGCAUCACUGGUGUUCGGGUUGUCAUGCCAAUGGCACUGCCCGGUAGCUAAAUGCGGAAGAGAUAAGUGCUGAAAGCAUCUAAGCACGAAACUUGCCCCGAGAUGAGUUCUCCCUGACUCCUUGAGAGUCCUGAAGGAACGUUGAAGACGACGACGUUGAUAGGCCGGGUGUGUAAGCGCAGCGAUGCGUUGAGCUAACCGGUACUAAUGAACCGUGAGGCUUAACCUUACAACGCCGAAGGUGUUU
rnacentral:rRNA from 1 species